GAUGAAGAACGCAGCGAAAUGCGAUAAGUAAUGUGAAUUGCAGAAUUCAGUGAAUCAUCGAAUCUUUGAACGCACCUUGCGCCCUUUGGCCAUUCCGAAGGGCAUGCCUGUUUGAGUAUCAUGAACACCUCAACUCUUCAUGGUUUUCCAUGAUGAGCUUGGACUUUGGGGGUCUUGCUGGCCUGUGGGUCGGCUCCUCUCAAAUGAAUCAGCUUGCCGGUUUUUGGUGGGCAUCACAGGUGUGAUAACUAUCUACGCUUGUGGGUUUCCACCAGGGUAACCUUCAGCAGUGGAGGUUCACUGGAGCUUACAAAUGUCUCUCCUCUGUGAGGACAGCCCUUUGAAUGUUUGAUCUCAAAUCAGGUAGGACUACCCGCUGAACUUAAGCAUAUCAAUAAGCGGAGGA
rnacentral:misc_RNA from 1 species